UACGUAGGGGGCAAGCGUUGUCCGGAUUUAUUGGGCGUAAAGCGCUCGCAGGUGGUCCGCUGCGUCGUGCGUGAAAGACCCCGGCUCAACUGGGGGAUGUCGUGCGAUACGGGCGGACUGGAGGCCAGUAGGGGGAUGCGGAAUUCCGGGUGUAGUGGUGGAAUGCGUAGAGAUCCGGAGGAACACCAGCGGCGAAGGCGGCAUCCUGGACUGGUUCUGACGCUCAUGAGCGAAAGCGUGGGGAGCGAUCCGG
rnacentral:rRNA from 1 species